AGGCAGUGUACAGUUAGCUGGCUGCA
rnacentral:miRNA from 1 species